UUGUGAGAGGAAGUCACAAUUUAAACUCAACAGGCACUCUUAAGAUGAAAAGAGUUUCAGAGAAGGAAAAAGAAUGUAGGUUACGGAACCUUUAACUACACAGGUUCAUGCAAGCAAAAUCACAACCCUAAAGAGAGUAGAAUUGUCGAGAAUAACACUACACCAAAUUCCCGGAUUCGUAACAGGAAUUCGUAACGGCCUGUUUUAACCACAAGUAUCAUUUUCUUUUUCCUUACCCAUCUACUCGAAAAAGUCUUCUUCUCUUCCCUCUUUUCUCUUCCUUAUCCUUUUAGGGUUUUCGAUUUCACAGAUCAUCUAUUAAUCGAGUUCAGGUUUCUAACUUCACAGAUCUAUGUUAGAAGAUCUAUUAAUCAGCAGUUUCCAAACUCUUUUCUUCCCUUCCGGUUCCUGCGACUGCUGUAAGAAGAAAUCGAUGGUGAUAUUCUCAGCUGAUAGAAGAUGAAUCUGCUGUUGCCAUUUGAUUCAAGUCAAGAAUGGGUAUGAACAAGUGUUAGCCUUGGUGGCGAGAAAGAUGCAAAGAAAGAGAUGGAUCUGUGGUAUUGGUUCGAUUUGGUAAGGGUUUCAAAGAAUCAUAGCAUGGGUUGUUAGAAUGCCAGAGAAGAUGGCAGGAAUUCAAAUGACUUCGGUGUUGUUGUAUCUGAGAUUGGCAUUCGGAAUCGAAUAAAUUGCAGAAUCAAUUAAUCCGGUGAUGAAUAAUGAAGAACAAAAAGGGGAUCUGAGAUGGAGAAGAUGAUUCUGGUGUUGUUUAUGCUACCAGCGAGAUUUGUGGCAAUCUGGGUUUGUGGUGGUUGUUGUCAUGGAGGCAGUGGUGAUGUAGAGUGGUGAUGUUGUUGGUGUUCGCCGAGAAGAUUAUGUUGUUAAUGUUGAACUCGUGAUAUGCUUAAAGGGUUUUGACAGGAUUAUUUAGCUGUGAGAUAAAGAGAAGACUCAUGGAGAAUGAGUCUGAUGGUGGUAUUUAUAUGAUGUUGAAGGUGCAGCUGUUAUAGUUAGAAGUGAAGGAGAGUAAAUGUUGGUUUAAUUAUAUGUAUGCUUAAGAUUGAUUGAAUUUGAUUGCACAUUAUAACCAGGGAAGAGCUACAGAAUGGAAGUCAGACUGGUGCAGCUGAACUGAAUGGCUUGAGUCAGUGUGCAGGUUAACUGAAGAUGCCAAUGAGCUAUUACUGGUUUGCUUUGGUGGUAUGAAUUGCAGGCAUAAAUGCAGAUGGAAACGAGUGUUGCAACUAUAAAUGGGUGCAAAUGAACUGAAGUUGGUGGUUCUUAUGGUGAAGUUGUUGUUGCAGUUGCAAGUGGUGGCCGAGUCAGGUGGUGUUGAGUUUGGUUGUGAGCUGUGGGUGUUAGCCAUGGUCACACUGGCUGUACGAAAGCUGCUCAAACAUGCCGAGCACCACAUGCUGAUCACCGUAGGCGGAGAUCUGUAAAGCUACCCUAUCCAGUUUGGCCAAAUCAAAAAUUUUGAAAUCUGAAGCUGCUGAUUCUCAGAAGCUCGCUUCUAUCCAACAAGCAAUAUUGAGGCGGCUUCAAGAUGACGAUCUUAGUGUUGUUCAAGCAGCUUUAUCUCUGGAUGGGUUGACAAGGGUCAUUAGCAUGCCUGAUCUUCUUGAGGCAUUACGUGAUAUUCUUCGUAGAUGUGCUGAAAUCACAAGUGUGACACUUGUCCCAUCCGAAGCUUCUCUCGUCGCUCGUUCAUGCCUUGAGUGUGCAGUUUUGAACUUCAAAGAUAUAUCUCUUUCAUGUGAUCUAAUAUCCUCAGCCCAAGAAAAGAAACCGGAACCUAGCUCAACUGAAAUUAAUAUGAAGACUAUUGGUGCUUUUGGUGAAACAUUUGCUGCACAACCUAUAGAAUACUUAGCUUGGUUGCGGUACAUUUCAAUAUGUUUCUCUUGAGAUUUGUGUUGAGCACUGGAACUCUGGUGUCAAUGAUUUCACACUUUCACUCUUGGUCCAUCGCUUGGGGAGUUCAUUAUGACUCAUCCUGACAUUAAGGAUUGCCUACAUCGAGUUUUCUGAUGCCCAAGCUUUCAACAAAGCAAGCCUGCAAAGGAUAUAAAGCUUAGAGCAACUGCAAUGGGAGACUAAACCCAAAUAUAUGGUCCAGAUACGUGACACAGUCGAACAGACUAAAGAUCAUAUACCAGACUAAACCCAAAUUUGAGACUAUAUUUGGUCUGGAGCAACGACCAAAACCAAAUUUGGUCGAGCGAAGUUAUAAUCUUCGUCAGUUAACAGGCGUUUAUAUAAUACACGCUUCAUCUGAAGCGGUGGUAUAAUUCUCGUCCCAAGAUCAGGCGGUUGUAUAAUAUAUGCCGUAGCUAGACGAACCUAUAAUGUACGCCCGAUCGGGCGUUAGUAUAAUGUCCGCCUGAUAACAGGCGUGAGUAUAAUGUUCGUCCCAUUAAGGCAUGCAUUAUACCUUAAGUACAUUUUUGUUAAUGCUUUAUACAUGUGCUCAAGCUAAAGAAUAUAGCUAGUUAGUAGUUAA